rnacentral:rRNA from 1 species
AACGAACGCUGGCGGCAUGCCUAACACAUGCAAGUCGAACGAUUGCCUUCGGGUGAUAGUGGCGCACGGGUGCGUAACGCGUGGGAAUCUGCCCUUAGGUUCGGAAUAACAGCUGGAAACGGCUGCUAAUACCGGAUGAUAUCGCGAGAUCAAAGAUUUAUCGCCUGAGGAUGAGCCCGCGUUGGAUUAGGUAGUUGGUGGGGUAAAGGCCUACCAAGCCGACGAUCCAUAGCUGGUCUGAGAGGAUGAUCAGCCACACUGGGACUGAGACACGGCCCAGACUCCUACGGGAGGCAGCAGUGGGGAAUAUUGGACAAUGGGCGCAAGCCUGAUCCAGCAAUGCCGCGUGAGUGAUGAAGGCCUUAGGGUUGUAAAGCUCUUUUACCCGGGAAGAUAAUGACUGUACCGGGAGAAUAAGCCCCGGCUAACUCCGUG